rnacentral:rRNA from 1 species
UACGAAGGGGGCUAGCGUUGCUCGGAAUCACUGGGCGUAAAGGGUGCGUAGGCGGGUCUUUAAGUCAGAUGUGAAAGCCCCGGGCUCAACCUGGGAAUUGCAUUUGAGACUGCUCUGCUCGGGUGCGGAAGAGGGAAGCGGAAUUUCCGGUGUAGCGGUGAAAUGCGUAGAUAUCGGAAGGAACACCAGUGGCGAAAGCGGCUUCCUGGUCCGACACCGACGUUCAGGCACGAAAGCGUGGGGAGCAAACAGG